rnacentral:lncRNA from 1 species
AGUCAGCGAAUACACGCAGCGGUCUGCUUUUUUGCGAGGCAGUGAACAGAUGCAGUGUUUAGUUUGCGAGGCAGCGAAGGGACGCGGCACUUUGCUUCUUGGCGAGGCAGCGAACAGGCGCAGCAUUUCCUUAUUUUGUGAGGCAUGCAAGAGAUGCAGCGGUGUGCUCGUUUGCGAGGCAUCGAAGAGACGCAGCAGCCAGUUAGCUGGCCAUGUGGCGAAGAGACGCGACGCUUUGCUUUUGGCGAUGCAGUGAAGAGACACAGCGGUUUGCUUGUUUGUGAGGCAGCGAAGAGAUGCAGCAGUUUGCUUGUUUGCGAGGCAGCRAAGAGACACAGCAUUUAUUUUGUUUCCGAGGCAGGGAACAGAAAGAGCAUUUUAUUACGUUCGCAAGGCAGUGAAGACACACAACGGUUUGCUAGUUUGCGAGGCAGCAAACAGACGCAGCGGUUAGUUAGUUGGCGAGGCAGUGAACAGACAUAGUGGUUUCCUCGUUUUCGAGGCAGCGAAAAGACGCAGCCAUUUGUUUCUUCGCGAGGCAGCGAACACCCACCGCGUUUUAUUUCAUUUGCAAGGCAGUGAACAGAGGCAGCGCUUAGUUAGUUUCUGAGGCAGCGCACAGAGGCAGUGGUGAGUGUCUUUCCGAGGCAGCAAACAGACAAAGUGGUUAGUUCAUUUGCGAAGCAGCGAAGAGAGGCAGCGGCUUGCUUGUUUGCGAGGCAGCGAAGAGACACAGCAUUUAGUGUGUUUCCGAGGCAGGGAACAGACACAACCUUUUAUUACAGUCGCGAGGCAGUGAAGUGUUAGAAUGGUUAGUUUAUUUGCGAGGCACUGAACAGAUGCAGCGGUUAGUUUGCGAGGCAGCAAACAGACUCAGCAGUUUUCUUGUUUCGGAGACAGCAAACACACGCAGCGGUCUGUUAGUUUCUGAGGCACAAACAGAUGCAGCGGUUAUUUUUUUUAUGAGGCAAGAAGAGAGGCAGCGGUUUGCUUCUUUGCGAGGCAGUGAACAAACGCAGCGGUUUGCUUGUUUGCGAGGCAGCGAACAGGUGCAGCGGUUAGUUUGGUUCUGAGGCAGCAAACAGUCACAGCGGUUAGUUCAUUUGCGAAGCCGCGAAGAGAGGCAGCGGUUUGCUUGUUUGUGAGGCAGCGAAGAGACACAGCACUUAGUUUGUUUCCAAAGCAGGGAACAGACAGAGCAUUUUAAUACGUUUGCGAGGCAGCGAAGAGACACAGCAGUUUGCUUGUUUGUGAGGCAGUGAACAGAUGCAGCGGUUAGUUUGGUUCCAAGGCAGGGAACAGACACCGCGUUUUAUUAUGUUCACAAGGCAGUGAAGAGAUACAGUGGUUAGUUAUUUUGCGAGGCAGCGAACAGACGCAGCGGUUUGCUUGUUUGGGAGGCAGCAGAGAGACACGUCCGUUUGCUUUUUUGCGAGGCAGCAAAAAGAGGCAGCGGUUAGUUUCUUUGCCAGGCAGCAGUCGC